AUAACRACUCUCGGCAACGGAUAUCUAGGCUCUYGCAUCGAUGAAGAACGUAGCGAAAUGCGAUACUUGGUGUGAAUUGCAGAAUMCCGUGAACCAUCGAGUUUUUGAACGCAAGUUGCGCCCGAAGCCAUUAGGCUGAGGGCACGUCUGCCUGGGSGUCACGC
rnacentral:rRNA from 1 species